rnacentral:rRNA from 1 species
CGUAGGGUGCAAGCGUUAAUCGGAAUUACUGGGCGUAAAGCGUGCGCAGGCGGUAAUGUAAGACAGUUGUGAAAUCCCCGGGCUCAACCUGGGAACUGCAUCUGUGACUGCAUUGCUGGAGUACGGCAGAGGGGGAUGGAAUUCCGCGUGUAGCAGUGAAAUGCGUAGAUAUGCGGAGGAACACCGAUGGCGAAGGCAAUCCCCUGGGCCUGUACUGACGCUCAUGCACGAAAGCGUGGGGAGCAAACAGGAUUAGAUACCCUGGUAGUCCACGCCCUAAACGAUGUCAACUGGUUGUUGGGUCUUCACUGACUCAGUAACGAAGCUAACGCGUGAGGUUGACCGCCUGGGGAGUACGGCCGCAAGGUUG